rnacentral:rRNA from 1 species
GUGGGGAAUCUUAGACAAUGGGGGAAACCCUGAUCUAGCCAUGCCGCGUGAGCGAUGAAGGCCUUAGGGUUGUAAAGCUCUUUCAGCUGGGAAGAUAAUGACGGUACCAGCAGAAGAAGCCCCGGCUAACUCCGUGCCAGCAGCCGCGGUAAUACGGAGGGGGCUAGCGUUGUUCGGAAUUACUGGGCGUAAAGCGCGCGUAGGCGGACCAGAAAGUUGGAGGUGUAAUCCCAGGGCUCAACCUUGGAACUGCCUUCAAAACUCCUGGUCUGGAGUUCGAGAGAGGUGAGUGGAAUUCCGAGUGUAGAGGUGAAAUUCGUAGAUAUUCGGAGGAACACCAGUGGCGAAGGCGGCUCACUGGCUCGAUACUGACGCUGAGGUGCGAAAGCGUGGGGAGCAAACAGGAUUAGAAACCCUUGUAGUCC